GCCUGAAUAGCACAGGGGUUAGUGCAUUCGCUUCGUAAGCGAAAAGUCGUGGGUUCAAAUCCCACUUCAGGCU